rnacentral:tRNA from 1 species
AUUUUCUUAAUACAAAAAGUAUAAUUGACUUCCAAUCAAUAAGUUCCAGCAUACCCUGGAAGAAAAUA